CAAUAAGUCCCGAAGUACAGUUCACACUUCACACUUCAAUCCGGAUGGCCAGACCGGUUAUCUUUCGCUGACACUCUGCUUUUACUGUCUUGAUACUUGAUACUUGAUAGCAAUGGAGGCAUCAAGUUGCCGCGCCUCUUCUGUCUUUUCGACUCGUUUCUACGAGCAUAAGAAGAGAAUUUCGCCACCCAUUCCACUUUCGGCACGAGUUACUGCCUCUGCGUCGCUCCUCACGGCUUCUUCUCCAAGAAACCAAGCAAUUUCCAAGACAACUCCGCAACACCCUGCUCGCAAAUCAGGGCCUCCGAGAGAUUCGAGCAGAAUUCAGAAGGAAGUUUCUCCUCAUAGAGCUGUCUCUGCUGUGAGAUUGAUGCGUAUAGAAUUUGGUGGUGCUUUUGCUGACCUUUUGAAUGAGCAAGGGAAGGGUUCAGGGAAAAGUGAAAUGGGAUAUGUUGAAAGGACUCUUGGGUUUUGCACUCGCGAGUUAGAUGAUAGAGAUUUAAGACUGGUAACAGAGAUUGUUGGAGGUACCAUUCGCUGGAGGAGAUACCUUGAUUAUUUGAUUCUUUCACUGUGCCAUGAUGAGAAUACAUUCAGAGGCAUGGAGCCUCUUUUGCUACAGAUUCUUCGAAUUGGUUUCUAUGAGAUCGUCAAAUUAGAAAUGCCACCUUAUGCAGUGGUAGAUGAGAAUGUUAAGCUUGCAAAAUUUGCUCUCAGACCUGGUGCUGGUAACAUGGUAAAUGGGAUUCUAAGGAAGCUAGUCUUUCUUAAGGAAAAUGAUUCCCUUCCUGAAGUGAAAAUUGAAGGUAACGAUCGCCAGCAAGCGCGUGCUCUCAGCACUCUUUACUCUCACCCAGUUUGGAUGGUGAGACGAUGGACAAAAUAUUUUGGACUUGAAGAAGCUAUUAAGCUGAUGGUAUGGAACAACAACGAUCCAAGUUUCAGCCUCAGGGCAAAUACUGGAAAAGGUUUAACAAGGGAUGACCUUGUGACACGCCUUACAAUGUUGAAGGUUCAACAUGAGCCUUCUCCCUACUUGGACGAUUUUGUUCGUAUCAAAACAGGAAUGCAGAAUGUCAUUCAAGGUGGUUUACUAAAAGAAGGCUUUUGUUCGGUCCAGGAUGAGAGUGCAGGGUUGGUGGUUUCUAUUGUUGAUCCAAAACCUGGUGAGAGCAUUAUUGAUUGUUGUGCUGCUCCGGGAGGAAAAACCCUUUUCAUGGCAUCCCGCUUGAGAGGCCAAGGCAUGGUGUUUGCAGUCGACAUAAAUAAAGGCCGAUUAAGGAUCCUCAAAGAGACAGCAAGAUUGCAUGAAACUAUCGAUGUCAUCACAACUGUUCAUGCUGAUCUUCGUAAAUUUUCUGGCAGUAAUGCUGUCAAAUCUGACAAAGUUUUGCUAGAUGCUCCUUGUUCAGGAUUGGGAGUUCUUUCUAAGCGAGCAGAUUUACGUUGGAAUAGACGACUCGAGGAUAUGGAACAACUUAAGAAUUUACAAGAUGAACUUCUUGAUUCAGCUUCGACGUUGGUGAGGCCAGGUGGAGCGCUAAUAUACAGCACUUGCUCCAUUGAUCCGGAAGAGAAUGAAGAAAGAGUUGAAGCUUUUCUUCUGAGGCAUCCAGAGUUCUACAUUGAUCCAGUAGACAAAUACGUUCCCUCAGAAUUUGUGACCAGAAAGGGUUUCUAUGCCUCGAAUCCUGUCAAGCAUGCAGUUGAUGGAGCCUUUGCUGCUCGUCUCAUUUUAUCUCGAUAAAGUCGAGAAUAGUAAGUUUUGGUGAUUGUAUGACACUGGAUAUUAUAUUCGCUUGAAUUGUGAUUAUUGCUAAGAGAUGUAACAACAUUUGAAGGGUCAUUGUACUUCCAAAAUUGAUUGGUGAAGACUGAAGACUAAAGAGAGGGUCUCUAUUCUGUAGGCUAAUGCUAAAUAUGUACAAA